GUGGAUUCCUGUAACUGUCCAUGAAAACAGAAGGCAUAGCAGGUUUUUAGUCAGGAUUAAUCCUGACUCCAACAAGUGCACUGCCAAGGAGCAGAUGAGCAAGACGACUGAGAGAGUGGUGAAGCAGAAGACGUCAUACAUGAACCCCCAUGUAAUCUCCUUCAUCAGGGACCUCACUGAAUUCUAUUUGCUAACUGACUAGAUGCAGGACAACUGGGAUUCUGGGUCUCCAAGGUCAGGGGACCAUAGACCUUUAUAUCAAGUGGCAGGGGAAUGAUAUUUGUAAGAAGUUUCUUUUCAUUUAUGUUUUAAAUGUUCAUGCACAUGUUCAUUAUUGUUCAAUGUUUUAUUUUAUUUCAAUAUUGCCAUUGUGUUAAUCAUUGCUCUUUAAAACGUGCAAAUAAGGUUGGUUAUUUAUUAUUUUGACCGUAUUUUAUCAAUUCACAUUAUUGUUCCAUCAUGUUAAUUUUGGAUAGUCUAAUGGCGUGUCGUCCAUUAUCCCUAACUUAUGUUGUACCUGUUUUGUCAUGUUCCUGUUCACCAAAUGUCUUAAAUAAAUAACUGUUAACAAUUUCUUGU